CUGGUGUUCCGUGUCCUCGCUCUGUCACUUACUGGUGUGAUUCCUGGUGUUCUGUGUCCUCGCUCUGUCACUUACUGGUGUGAUUCCUGGUGUUCCGUGUCCUCGCUCUGUCACUUACUGGUGUGAUUCCUGGUGUUCCGUGUCCUCGCUCUGUCACUUACUGGUGUGAUUCCUGGUGUUCCGUGUCCUCGCUCUGUCACUUACUGGUGUGAUUCCUGGUGUUCCGUGUCCUCGCUCUGUCACUUACUGGUGUGAUUCCUGGUGUUCCGUGUCCUCGCUCUGUCACUUACUGGUGUGAUUCCUGGUGUUCCGUGUCCUCGCUCUGUCACUUACUGGUGUGAUUCCUGGUGUUCCGUGUCCUCGCUCUGUCACUUACUGGUGUGAUUCCUGGUGUUCCGUGUCCUCGCUCUGUCACUUACUGGUGUGAUUCCUGGUGUUCCGUGUCCUCGCUCUGUCACUUACUGGUGUGAUUCCUGGUGUUCCGUGUC